CUACAAAAGAUCAUGCAGCCUAGUUGGAUGCGCAUCUAUUCUAUACCCGCUUACUUGGCUUCGAUACUAGUUAUGACUAAAGAGAUGAGGGGGCUCAAGGUGCCAAGCCUACUAUGCUUGCUACUGCUCAUACCGCUCUUGCUUCCUGGCUCUGAAGCCGACACAUGCAGUCGGUUCAGCAGGACCUAUAUUGUUAAGCCUCCCGAAUGCAACCAUGAUCCAUGUGCCAAGGCCUGCCAAAAGGAGGGAUUUACCGAAGGGGUCUGUGAAAUCAUUCGUGCCACACCUAUUUUUAUGCGUUGUCUCUGCAAGAAAGAGUGCUAAAUGAAAAACAUGCUUGUAGCUACUUCAGGAUGUAUGAUGCAAAAAGCAAUAAGUUAAUAACAUGUGUAGUAUGAUGAUAAGAAAUGGAAGAAGUUGAGACUCUAGAAAAUGUUCCUUAUUA